GCUUCCUCGCUCCGCCCCCGCCGUCACUCCCCCAGUGCUCCCCUUAGUAACGCGACGUAACACUCCAAAAUAGAACGCAUUGACGUCACAGGGAGGCCAGCGCGACGAGGAGGGAUCCGGAGAGCGGAGCAAGAAGGGAGGGAAGGAGGGGCCGAGCGCGUGCGCGUCGGAGAGAUUCCACCGCUGUAACCAACGUGAGCAAACUCUAAGGACUUACUUGUGGUGCAGUGGUGGUGGAGGGGCUCCCGAAGGAGUCCACCGAAGACAGGUACUGAGAUUCGACCGACGGAGAGGAACUUCCACGGGAGCCGCUGUCCGGGUCACCGGGGAACCCCUGGAACAUCUCCCCGGCACAGCCGAGUGGAACCGAGUACGCGCUCGCGCCCGGACAAAACGGACCGUCACCUGGCGCCCAGCGAAAGAUUUUGACGUCUAAUUUAUCAUUCCAGCGCAUUCACGAGUCACUUUAUUCGACUCGAACGCAUGCAUACCUUCAGAGAUCUCUAUAAAAACGUGUGCGUCAAACAACGUCAACUCAACUUAGCCUUAAAUAUAAACCAGUUCAGCCAUGCGAUCACCUACCGUAGCGAGAUUUACUCUUAGACUCGGUCAAGAUGCCUUUCGUGUCUUUCCAAAAAAGUUGCAUUAAGAUGUCAAUCCGGUGCUGCGUUUGGGAAACAAGUUUACAACUCCAAAGCGGAGACGUCCACACUGUCUGGAGGGGGGGAAAAACUCCUAAAAAAAAAUUAAAGGUUCCUUUUAUUCG